GAGAAAGAGAGAGAGAGAGAGAGAGAGAGAGAGAGAGAGAGAGAGAGAAAGAGAGAAAGACAGAAAUAAAAUGUUAGAAUUGCAAUACAGGUAAGAAUUUUUUUAUUUGUGAUAAUUACUAAGAUAUCUGAGAUAACAUCUUCUCUCUCUCUCUCUCUUUCUCUCUAUCUAUCUAUCUAUCUAUUUAUCUAUUUAUCUAUCUAUCUAUCUAUCUAUCUAUCUAUCUAUCUAUCUAUCUAUCUAUCUAUCUAUCUAUCUAUCUCCUUCUAUCGUUCAUUAAUUAGUUACUCAAGGAAAACAAGUGAGCAAAAAAGAUGUCAUUUGAAAACAUGUAUACAUCAUAGUUUCUAUCGACAUGAAUAUAUAUACUCAUAACUAGUGACUGAUAACGCGAUCUCGUUAAUAUCGUCUUGUUUGUCUUUUUUUCUACUUUCAAUUUUCCUUUUUUUUUCUUUUUCUUUUUUCUUCUUCUUUUUUUUUUUUUUUUUUUUUAAUAAAAUGCAGAACAUAUAUGUAUCAUCAAUUUCACGUUGUUAAAAUGGUAUUGCAUUCUUGGACAUGAUAUAUACCAUACAUAGGGUACAUGUAAAAAUAUAAAAAUAUAAAAAUAUAUGACACCGAAUCAUAUUUUUCUCAUAUAUGAAUAGAAUAGUGCGAAAUAGAUGGAAUCUCUUCUAUUAUUUAUUGACCGUCGGUACUAUGCACGCGAUGUGAAAAUUAUUUCUGGUUAAAAAUAUAACGCGAUCCGUUCUUUUCAUUUUUCGAAUAACUAAGUCGAAACAAGUGGUAAUGAAAAUUCGUUUAUGAUAACGGAAAAAAAGAAGAAAAAUCGAUUAUGGUAAGAAUUUAUAUAAUACGAUGAAAUGGGGAAAAAGAAUUAAAAGAAAACAAAGGAGAGAGAGAGAGAGAGAGAGAAAGAAAGAGAUGGACGGAUGAUAUUUUUACUAGUGGAAAAAUAGUACGUCGUAAGUAAACUGGUUACUCGAUCGACCUUUUAUGAUUGUAUCCUAUGGUUUGUGACGUUAGAAGAAGAUGACGUAAUACACGAAGAAUUUCUCACGGAAGAAUUUCUCACGAAAGAAAUUACUGUCUCUCUCAUUUUAUUUCUCAUUUUUCAUCAUCUGACCUUUCCAAAAGAAUUAAUAAAAAAAAAAAAAAACUAACUUAAAAUAAUCUUUAAGAACAUCUUCAGUGAAUGAGAUCAAUAUUUAAAUCCCUCUACUUACUGACAUCGUUAGAUCACUGAUCGAACAGUUUUCGGCGUACGGUAAGAAAGAAACAAAAAAAAAAAGAAAAAAGAAAGAAAAGUAAAAUAGAAAAGACGAAAAAAACGAAGGAAACAAAACUAAAACAAGAGAGGUGAAAUAACUGGAAAUACGAGCGGCAUUCCUACCAUCCCUUUUUCCUUCUUCUUUUCUUUUCUUUUUUUUUUUCUUCUCUCUGAAAUAUAAUUCGAAACUGUGCUUGUGUUAUGUAAA